CCUACGGGAGGCAGCAGUGAGGAAUAUUGGUCAAUGGCCGUAAGUCUGAACCAGCCAAGUAGCGUGAAGGAAGACUGCCCUAUGGGUUGUACACCUCUUUUAUGCGGGGAUAAAGGUGUCCACGUGUGGCUGUUUGCAGGUACCGCAUGAAUAAGGACCGGCUAAUUCCGUGCCAGCAGCCGCGGUAAUACGGAAGGUCCGGGCGUUAUCCGGAUUUAUUGGGUUUAAGGGGAGCGUAGAGGGGUCUUUAAGUCAGUUGUGAAAGUUUGCGGCUCAACCGUAAAAUUGCAAUUGAUACUGGCAGUCGUGAGUACAGUUGAGGUAGGCGGAAUUCGUGGUGUAGCGGUGAAAUGCUUAGAUAUCACGAAGAACCCCGAUUGCGAAGGCAGCUUACUAAACUGUGACUGACACUGAUGCUCGAAAGUGUGGGUAUCAAACAGGAUUAGAUACCCCUGUAGUC
rnacentral:rRNA from 1 species